rnacentral:rRNA from 1 species
UACGUAGGGGGCAAGCGUUAUCCGGAAUCAUUGGGCGUAAAGAGCGUGUAGGCGGUUCGGUAAGUCGGCUGUGAAAGUCCAGGGCUCAACCCUGGGAUGCCGGUCGAUACUGCCGGACUAGAGUUCGGAAGAGGCGAGUGGAAUUCCCGGUGUAGCGGUGAAAUGCGCAGAUAUCGGGAGGAACACCUAUGGCGAAGGCAGCUCGCUGGGACGUUACUGACGCUGAGACGCGAAAGCGUGGGUAGCAAACAGG